GGCAAAACGGAACUCUUGCAUUGUGACACUCUCUCUCCCUUCUGAUUACCUACCUCUUCCCAGAGGCAGCCUUUAAGCCCCAAGGUAUCACAGAGCCAAUUUCAGCUUGCGUUGUGCUGUGUGGCUGGGAGCACAGCCCCAAACCUUUUACCGUCUCCUCUCUGAAUCAUUCUUCAACCACCAUUCCCAACCCCAUAAAAGCCCUUUCUAUGUCAGAGCAGUAAACAACCUUCAAUUCUUCCUACCACCUCCCCUACACCCAUCCAGGGACCCAGUCACAGCUCAAUCAUCAGCCCAGCAGAAGCACUUAUCCAACCUCCCCUUAAAGCUCAAAGAACACCCACUGAAGUCUCAGACAGGGAGUGCUACAUGGAGGUCGCAUGUGGAAGCAAUCUUUCAUCUCCUCAGCCUUGACCUAUCUUUGGAGCCCCCUUCCCCAAAGCCAGGGAUGCAAGGACGGGGACAAGAGCAGCAGAACGGGCCUCAGACGUACCCACACCAAGAGCAAGGCCGCGGAUCUGUCCAUCUGAGAUAAUGCCCUGCGCUCUCUGAGCUCGCCAGGCUGACGCAGGAGUCUCUGGAGCCGACACUCCCAACAUCAACAUCCUCCUCAUGAUCGUGCCCGGGCACCGGAGGCUCAGAGGCUACUCUUCCAAGGUCACAUAGAGCCACGAGGACCAGGUAGGAACGGGACGUCAGCCACAUUUACGCCCCCACCCUCAGGUGUCACUUGUACCCUGCCCGCUAACCGUCAUUUGUACCCAGGACCCCACAUCCCCCACCCCAUCCCGCUUCUACAGAGUUCCUCAGGCUAGAAAGCAAAGCCUCCAGCUCCAGCACAGCUGAGGAUCUCAGACCCAGGAGCCGUCUCUGGUGAACUAGACGGAGCCCGGAGGGCCCAUCUCACCUUGCAGGCGAGCCCCGCGGCCAGGCGGUCAGAAACGACCGCGGAGGCGGCGGUAGCAGCAGCAGAACGGGCUGGAGAGCGCGAGGAAGAGCCCCGCGCCGCAUCAGCCUCGCGCCACGCCCUCUCCUCCUUCAUUGGCUUGAGGGGCGUUGAGGGGCGGGGCUAGGGCACUUCAGACCAAUGAGCUGUCUCUGAGAUCCACCAAUUAACGACGAGAUUCCACAUCACGUGUGCGCGGAGGCUGAGCCCCACGAGUCGACGUCACCCCAGCGGCACGAGCUUGGGUGAUGAAGCGGGAUGGGAGCUAUGUUGGAACCGCUGCUGGAAACCGACCAGAGCGACCUUCCCCAUGAGAUUCUGUGAGCUCUCAGCUACUGCUCCAGCACCCUGCCU